GAGUUGGGGGAGAGGACCAGAACCACCUGCUGGAGAAGGGGAGCUACGGGGGCCGGGCAGGGUCCAAACGCCUCACGUAGGCGGCGGCGCCACGGUCUUCGGGGUCACAGGGAAGAGAAGGGCUCUCCUCAAGCGGGUGGAAGGAGGGAGGCCUCCCGAGGGAGUGAGACUCUAGGCCACUCCCCCGCAGCAAGGCAGGAUCACCUGCGACGCGGAGAGCGGUUAGAGGGCCCUGGAGUGGAAAAGGGCAGUGGGACCUGGUAGCUUGGGUUCCCUGCAACUUGGGGUUCGACCUCCAGGCAAUGAAGUAGGGAUGGUCCUGCAAGUCAAGAUUCCAGUAGCAAGAGUGCAUCAGAUCUCUGUAAGGAAAAUAACUAACAUUGCUCAGUUCCCUGUAGAGUUGCAGGGCGCUUUAACGUUAUCUCCCUUGGUUCUCCAUCAGGUCGUAGUGGACUAAUUUUACAGGCGAAGUUAAGUGACUUACCCAAAACCUCACAGCUAAUAAACGGCAGAGCCGGCACCCAGCUGUACUGGCUUCCAAUUCUGUUAGCUUACCAGCGCAUCACAUUAUCUCCAUAAAUCCCCAUGAUUCAACUAAUAUUAGACGCCCCACAGAGUCUCGCUACUCAAAACGUGGUCAGUGGCCCAGCAGCACUGACAUGAGGAUGUUAGUUAGAAACUCAGAAUCUCAGGCUCCACCCCAGACCUGCUGAACCAGCAUCUUCAACUUAACAAGAACCCGAAGAGAUUUGUGUCACAUCAAAAAGUUUGAGAAGCUCUGAUCUAGGGCUGGAAGGAGUGUUGCUCAACAAUAUCCAAAACCACAGAGGUUGAAAAGCACAAGGAAAGAAGCUGGACCCUGGACACGGUGACUCUGAUUCAAUUAUGCAGAUGACCACAAACCUCUGGGGUUGGCAGAGCCACAAGAAAGAAGGUGCCUGGAUGAAGGAGAGCUACCCACUGACCUGGACACCCAAUUAUAGGAUAGACAGUGAAGUGCAACUACAGCCCGCAAAUGAAAAUGAAUAAUAUUAAUCCAGCCCCUCAAGGCAGUCAUCUGUCUUAGAGCUAUUGGAAUCCUGGAUCAUUGUGGGAAAUGAAAGGAACUGGUUUUUAGCAAGGAGACCAAGAAACUCUACUCCCUAGGGGCUAGCAAUGAGAGAAAGGAAGCCUUAAGUCUUUGAGCACAGGGUGACAGUUUGGGUCCUAUGUGAGAUGAUCAAAUCCACAGCAACAGAGGAAAGGACAAAAGGAAAAGGUCUGUAGCAGCACUACAUCAGAAAAAAAUGGAUUCAGCAAGGAAGUGGGUGACUCUGAGUAAGCAUCCAUGUCAGGAUGGUUUUGCUACAGCCCCCAACAAAACAUUAAUUAGUUUAAGAAACUCAACUUCGGUUUACAAGUGUUUUGGAAAAGUAACAAAGAACAACAUAAGUAACAAAAUAAUUCCUCAGGUCAUUACAAUGGAUGUUUCCUAUAACUGAAAAAUAUGGUUAAAAAGUACAAACUACAUUUGGUGUGCAAACUGUUUAGUUCUUAAUUCCAAACUAAAUUGUACAUUAUAUAGUAAAAUUUUGACCAGAAAAACUUGGAGAUUUUAGUAAAAAUUUCAUUGACAUAUUUACAGCCCCAGUGUAGUUUGGCCGGUGUGCAAAGCCUGACUAAGGAGGUUAUAGAAAAAAAUAUCAGACUUAAGCCCAUCAAAUCAUUAAAGAUGCUUUGGCAAGACUUCAAGCUUUACAGACAUACUCCAUGUGACCAGAGAUGUCAUAACCAGUGUUCUUUCUCUUGAAAUGUUAGAAUGCUUUAGUUUUAUUCUAUAAUUUCCGUGUUCCAUGGAACAGCAUUCAUUUCUCCCAGUUUUAGUAACAUAAUGAGAGAUAUAUUGAGUGUAUAGAGCAGGAAAGACAUGAAAACUUAUAUUGCAUAAUAUUAGCAAACAUAAAAGAUAGCAUUAUAAAUUUUUAAAAAUCCAAAAAAAUUCCAGAAACAGAACAGUGAGCAUGUUUAAAAAGUCAGGACUGACCGUUUCUGUGAGUUCUGAGGACUGUAAAUGAGCCUCAAUCCAUAAAGCUGAGAGGUUGUCUUAGCCCACAUAUGCAGCAGGUGACUCCCUCUGACAAAAGCAAGAUUUAGCUGGAUCUUUUAAAAAAAAAA
rnacentral:lncRNA from 1 species